GACCAAUAAUUUAGAAUAAUAAAAUAUAUUUAAUUAGUUAUGUUAAGCAUUUUUGUUGGAAGGAUUAGAUGGAAAGACCCUUUGGGAACAUCCUCAUGGUAGUUGGAGACAUUUUUGCAGAUAUUUGACUUAGUUUUUUUUUUUGUAUCCACAAAAGUGAAAAAGAUAAAGGCCUCAACAAACACAUUUUGACUUACAAAUUCAAAAUCCUUAAAACCCCAUCGACUUGGAAAGACAACGAAAAUGGAAAGAUGGACAAAACCGUAAUCAACGUUAACGAGUAGGUUAUACAUACAGGUUCAGUUGUGCAGACGCUACACUUUCAAACUGCCCUUCCGCUUUUCAAAAAAGAAUAGAAAAAAUAUCAUUACAAAUCCAAACAGAGAACGAAGAAGAAAGAGAGAAAUCAAUAAACUAGAAACCUCUUCUCAAUCAAUUUCUGCCCCCUUUUCCCCUCCAUUCUCUCUCUCCUCUCUUUCUCUUUCAGUCAAUUGAUUACCCCUUUCCACUCCCUUCAUCACGCCCUCUGAAAUGCCAUUUCUGAUACAGCUUUUCAUUCCAAGGCCACGCGUUUUCCAAUUUCCACCCUUCUUGAGCUGUUCCAACUUUCUUCAACACUGAAUCAAUGACUAUUCAGCAUUCUAUGACCCAUUUCAGUCAACCCACUUGCACUUCAAC
rnacentral:lncRNA from 1 species